AGAAUAGCUAUAAUAUAGACUGUUUUUACAUUUUUUUACUUAUAAUGUACCAUUUAAUUAUAUUACUUCAUUGGGAAAUAUUUUAACCCUCAUUAUAAGUUACUGCACAAUUUCUCUAGAAUUCCUGGGGAUUUCUAGGAACUACUAAAUUAAUAAAUAUGAAGCUAUAGACAGAGUCAAAUUGCUUUGCAUAAAAUUGUUCCAAAUUAUGUUUCCCCAGUAAUAUACAAAAUCCAUGUCAUUGUUUCCUCAGUAUUUUCUGUUGUUUUAAUUUUUACUUCAGAAAUUUAUAUUCAUAUUUGUUAACCAUUUAUAUUUCUUCUUUUUUGAGGUGACUAUUUUUGUCUUUUGCCCGUUUUUCUAAAUGGUUAUAUCAAUUAUAUAGUCUCUGUAUAAACUUUCUAUAUUAGUCUCUUAUUUUUCAUAUAUUUUACAAAUUGAGUGGUUUGUCUUCUAAGUCAGCUUGCUGUUUUUGAAGUAAAGGUAUUUUUCAUAUUUUUGCAGUCAAAUCAUUAUUUUCUCUUUGUUGCUUUCUUCCUUCACUUUUAGGCUUAAAAAGUCUUUCUCUCAAUCAG
rnacentral:lncRNA from 1 species